rnacentral:rRNA from 1 species
GUGCCAGCAGCCGCGGUAAUACGUAGGGGGCAAGCGUUAUCCGGAUUUACUGGGUGUAAAGGGAGCGUAGACGGCCAUUCAAGCCAGAUGUGAAAGCCCGGGGCUCAACCCCGGGACUGCAUUUGGAACUGUGUGGCUGGAGUGUCGGAGAGGCAGGCGGAAUUCCUAGUGUAGCGGUGAAAUGGGUAGAUACUAGGAGGAACACCAGUGGCGAAGGCGGCCUGCUGGACGAUGACUGACGUUGAGGCUCGAAAGCGUGGGGAGCAAACAGGAUUAGAUACCCUGGUAGUCCACGCCGUAAACGAUGACAACUAGGUGGCGGGUGGCAAAGCCAUUUGGUGCCGCAACAAACACAAUAAGUACUCCACGUGGGGAGUACGUUCGCAAGAAUGAAACUCAAAGGAAUUUGACGGGCACCCGCUCAAGCGGUGGAUCUGUUGUUUAUUUCGGAAGCAACGCGAAGAACCUUAGCUGG